CCUACGGGGCGCAGCAGUGGGGAAUAUUGGACAAUGGGCGAAAGCCUGAUCCAGCCAUGCCGCGUGUGUGAAGAAGGCCUUCGGGUUGUAAAGCACUUUCAGUGGAGAAGAAAGCCUUGGGGCUAAUACCCUCGAGGAAGGACAUCACCCACAGAAGAAGCACCGGCUAACUCCGUGCCAGCGGCCGCGGUAAUACGGAGGGUGCGAGCGUUAAUCGGAAUUACUGGGCGUAAAGCGCGCGUAGGCGGUCUGAUAAGCCGGUUGUGAAAGCCCCGGGCUCAACCUGGGAACGGCAUCCGGAACUGUCAGGCUAGAGUGCAGGAGAGGAAGGUAGAAUUCCCGGUGUAGCGGUGAAAUGCAUAGAGAUCGGGAGGAAUACCAGUGGCGAAGGCGGCCUUCUGGACUGACACUGACGCUGAGGUGCGAAAGCGUGGGUAGCAAACAGGAUUAGAUACCCCUGUAGUC
rnacentral:rRNA from 1 species